UUUUAACAAAUGUCUCCAUGGAAGCAAAAAUAUUUUAACAAACAUUGAAACCACAGAUCCAUGAAAUACACUAAACACAUUAGGAACAACGCAGCGUUGAGAGCAAGUCUUUUACAAUAUAUCAUUUGACAGGAUUUAAUCUCUGUGUGACAACCCAGCAUCCAUAUUCAAACAAGAAAAGAAGAGCUACACAAAAGUGCAUCAUUUGCUCCAAGAGCUAACAUUCCUGCAGCAAAGCAAGUCAGGUGUCCCAUUUUGUGGUCAAGGACACCACCUCUCCACUCAGCAAUCCUGUUGCCAUGGCUCCCGGCGCCGGACGAGUGACGCGACUUCCGGAGCGACAGGUCCAGCCGCGUCCGGAAGCACGCGCUGCAGGAAGGCGGCCGGAGAGACCGGGGACACCCUGGGCACGACGGGGAGGGAGCAUCUGACGGGAUCAGUAUGAAAUACCUACAAUCAAAAUCCCGACGGUCAAAAUCCCAAGAACAAUUGACCGAUGUUCAAAAUCCUGACAAGGUACAAAAUACAGUCAAGGUCAAAAUACCGACAUUUAAAAUAUCGACAGGUCAAAAAGUCAACAAGAGGUUUUUAUUUUUUUUGGUAUGUCAACAUAGGUCGACAUGGACACCGUAGAAGUGUACCGCGUCCCCUCGCAUGGCUUGAUGCGCUCGCCAUGCUUCAGGCACAGUGCCUCGCUGUGCUCGGCACACUAUUAAGGUCCACUGGGACGGUAAAGUAUGAACAAAUUGGUUUCAAUGAAAAAAUCAUGAAAAACUCAUGUCGACUUUUUGACCUGUUGACAUUUUAAAUGUCGGUAUUAUGACCGUGUCAGUAUUUUAAAUGUCGGUAUUUUGACCAUGUGGAGAAUUUGACCUUGUCGGGAUUUUGACUGUAGGUAAAUUGACCACAUCCCCAUCUGAGGUGUCAACACAAUUGAAUACUUGUAUUUUUCUCUACUGAAACAUACUGUAAAUACAAUGAGAUGUGGUUGAAAUGCAUUUACAUGUGAGUUUAGACAAGCAUUUCGCUGGAAUAAGGUAACAACUUUCUAUUUUGCCACAGGUGGAUGUUUAAGAAAAAACACAGAAAGAAUGCAUUUGUAAAUGCAUAUUA